rnacentral:rRNA from 1 species
GACGAACGCUGGCGGCGUGCUUAACACAUGCAAGUCGAACGAUGAACUUGGAGCUUGCUCUGGGGGAUUAGUGGCGAACGGGUGAGUAACACGUGAGUAACCUGCCCUGGACUCUGGGAUAACUUCGAGAAAUCGGAGCUAAUACCGGAUAGGACCUUGCACCGCAUGGUGUGGGGUGGAAAGUUUUUCGGUUUGGGAUGGACUCGCGGCCUAUCAGCUUGUUGGUGAGGUAAUGGCUCACCAAGGCGUCGACGGGUAGCCGGCCUGAGAGGGUGGCGAGCCACACUGGGACUGAGACACGGCCAAGACUCGUACGGGAGGCAGCAGUGGGGAAUAUUGCACAAUGGGCGCAAGCCUGAUGCAGCAACGCCGCGUGCGGGAUGACGGCCUUCGGGUUGUAAACCGCUUUUAGUAGGGAAGAAGCCUUCGGGUGACGGUACCUGCAGAAAAAGGACCGGCUAACUACGUGCCAGCAGCCGCGGUAAUAC